CGUCGCGCCCUGCAUGCUAAUUCAGCGCGGCACCACCAAGUCGUCUCCCGGCUCCAGGGCGGGCGAGGCGGGCGAGGGAGCAGCUCCCGUGCCGCUGACAGCUCCUUCCCCGCACCUCCCGUUGGCACGUUUGUUUUGGUCAGCGGGAUACAUGGUGAGGUCUCAAGUUGUCACGUUGCUCCGGCUGAAUCAGGGGCUCUUCAUCCGUGGAGAAACCCUCUCGGCUGUCUUCUGGCGGUUGGCACAGCAUCCCCGGGUAUCUCUGGAUCAGCGCGGAGCUCAUCAAAAAAUGUGUCCACUCUUAUUUCGGGGAAGUGAAAGUCACCUCUACCCCUCCCUCUUGCCCUGCCGUUCAAAGAAAGGAUACAUGUAUUAGCCCUCGAUGAAGAAAUCAAAUUACACUUUCACCUGCCGCAGUGAGAAAGAAGUUCAAGAUACAUCGUCGUCACCACCACCACCAGCAGCAGCAGCAGCCACUGCUGAACGAAAGCUACCCCACAUCGUCACUGCGACCCACCGUGCUGCGAUGUCGCGAUCUCUCUGGGGGCCGCACGUGAACGAAGCUCUCUGCUCGCGACUGCUGUCCCCGCUCGUCUCGCCAACCCUCCCCGCCCAGGCGCACCGACUCUGUCGCUACAAAUCGUUUGGCGGUGCCGCUUUGACAGCGGUGCGAAGGCACAAACAGCAACAACAAAAAGUCCACACGUUCGUCACGAAGUGAAAGACAAAUAUUUAAGAUGCGUAAUAGGGAAUGAUUUGGGCAAUGGCCUUUUUUUAACGCCUGUGUUUAUGGUGGUUUUAUUGAUGGACGUGCCGAGCAAUUUAACCAUUUUUAACAGUUACUAUGAUGCCUAUGUGUUGUUAUUUAUGUUUGCAGCGUAGUUGACAGCGUGCAUCACUCUCCAUGCCGCUGGUGUGUAAAAGAACGUUGUUGGCCAGGCGGUGUUUGAAUGUCACGGUGGCAGGCGCAGGGCUUGGAGGAGGGAGCAUUGUCGAUUCGGGAUGAGACAAAUUCUAAAGAGCAGGAGCUCUUGCGGGCACAAGCAACGCCAUCGCCGCGCUUGCGACGUUAUUUAUUGCCCUUGUUUACUCUGCUGUCAGCAAUUGCGAUCGCCAGGCGUUGCAGCAGCCAGACCCAUUUAAUUCGUGAAUAGCUCGGUCAUUAUCGAAGCGGUCUUGCACGCCGUAAUGCAAUGAACAAGCGGGCAAUAUGGGCAAACUAUAAGCUAAUCGCGAGCGAAUCGCCCGACUGUAUUCUAAAGCCCAUGUGUGAUUAGAAUGAGCGAAAUUGAAGAAAGCACGGUGGUGUGGACCUCAAUAGCGCUACACACAUUUAAAUAAGCGAUGAUAGGUGUAAAAAUCUCCAGUUUAUUUUUUUUACUGAAACACGAUUCGCUGCACGGAAACAAAUGCGAGUCGAUCUCCGCGCGCUGCCAACGUCAUGCGCCGUGCAUUGACUUGAACGUCCGUGCCAGCAGGCGGGACACGCGGGGGACAUGGGGGCCGAGAGGCUCUCCCGCAGUGUGGCCGCGAGAGCCGGGGAGAAUCAACGCGUCCGUUCGUUCACGUUCGUGAGCAGAGUGAGCAGGCCGGGCUCUCCGCCCGCGGGGAGCGGCUGGGGUGGGUGGGAGAUCGGCUGGCCUGGCAACGCUACGAGUGAUACGUCGCAAAAGCACAGCUCCGCAUCAUCCGGCUCAACAGAUAUGUGGUUAUUUGUUUAUUUAUUUAGGCGACAAGUCUCGCCACCCCACGGAACCCUGCCUCCCGCGCUUAGUCCAGCUUUUAAAAAUGUGUACCUGCCGCUGGUGUUGUUAAGCAUGUCAGGACUUGUGAUGUGCUUGUAGCACGUUGCUAAAUUAGGGGGCUCAAAGGCAGAGCGAGCAGGCUCGCAAUCGGAAUGCCGUGAGGUCACAUCCUGGUGUGAGGCUGACUCAGCCUAUCAUCCCGACGGGGUCGAUAAAAUAGUUAUCGUACCACUUUGUGGGGAAGUCAACGCGGUUGUUCUAUGGAUGUCAACUCACCCUCACCAUCCGAUGCGGCAUGUCUACGAUUGGUUCAGAGAUGUAAACAGGAGAUGAGCAACGUUCCAAUGCUCAUUUACGCAGGAAAUCAGUUUGACUACGUACAAAAUAUAUAUAUAAACAUAGGUGAGCGAUAAGAUCAAGUUUAAAGGUGUGUGCUUUAGCAAUGUCGAAUACAAUUAACAAGGCUCUGGCAAAGCAAUUCAUGUAAAUUAUAAUAUAAUGAUGAUGAAUGAAUAAAGAUGAACUUGGAAAGAAAA